ensembl:lncRNA
GUGUAGAUCAUGAGUCAAGAGAUGAAAUAAUAAGAGGAAUUGACUCGACUAUGACUCAAAGAACAAUAAAAAUGUGUCUCUCAGAUCCGGUCCAGAGGACAGAGGCGAUGGCGAAUGUCCUCCCCUCUCCUGGGCCCCGACCCCUCGCCCCAUAGAUGGAUGGGCCACACAACAGCCAGGCAGCACUCUGCGAAGAUCAUCAUCUAUGCACAUUGGUUCGCUCCUGGGAUUCAUCAUCUCUCCUUUUUGUUGUUGUCAUGCCCACCUCCGUAGAUCUAGUUCCUUCUCUGUGAGCGUGAUGGCCGCAAGGCCUUGCCUAUGAUUUUCCUAUCUCCCAAUUAGAACUGGUGUACCUGUCUCCCAUUAGGACUGAUGAAGAGGGGCGGAGUCGCCUUUUUUGUGGACUAUAGGGUGCGCUCUGUUCCUCCAAGCCAGCCCCUUCCUUUGUGGCACCUUCACCUGCUUGCCACGCUGCAAAUGUUGUUUUGUC